rnacentral:rRNA from 1 species
AGAGUUUGAUCCUGGCUCAGAACGAACGCUGGCGGCGUGCUUAACACAUGCAAGUCGAUCGCGAAAGGGGACUUCGGUCCCCCGGUAGAGUGGCGCACGGGUGAGUAACGCGUAGAUAAUCUACCCCUGUAUUUGGGAUAACAAUUCGAAAGGAUUGCUAAUACCGAAUACACUUAUUUGGACGCGAGUCUAAGUGAGGAAAGGUGACCUCUUCUUGAAAGUUACUGUAUAGGGAUGAGUCUGCGUACCAUUAGCUAGUAGGUAGGGUAAAGGCCUACCUAGGCGACGAUGGUUAGCGGGUCUGAGAGGAUGAUCCGCCACACUGGAACUGGAACACGGACCAGACUCCUACGGGAGGCAGCAGUGAGGAAUAUUGCGCAAUGGGGGAAACCCUGACGCAGCGACGCCGCGUGGGUGAAGAAGGCCUUCGGGUUGUAAAGCCCUGUCAGGUGGGAAGAAGUGUAUCAUGGCUAAUAUCCAUGGUAUUUGACGGUACCACCAAAGGAAGCACCGGCUAACUCCGUGCCAGCAGCCGCGGUAAUACGGAGGGUGCAAGCGUUGUUCGGAUUUACUGGGCGUAAAGGGCGCGUAGGCGGUUUUAUAAGCCAGAUGUGAAAGCCCACGGCUCAACCGUGGAAGUGCAUCUGGAACUGUAAGACUUGAGUAUGGGAGAGGAAAGUGGAAUUCCCGGUGUAGAGGUGAAAUUCGUAGAUAUCGGGAGGAAUACCGGUGGCGAAGGCGACUUUCUGGACCAAUACUGACGCUGAGGCGCGAAAGCGUGGGUAGCAAACAGGAUUAGA